GAAUUACAUGAUUACCUGAAAUUUUUGCCUAAUCUAUAGGAUGCUUUUUUUAAUUUGGAAAGUAGUUUCUUUCCUGUGCAGAAAGUUUUCUGGUUGAUGUAGUCCAUGUUUAUUUUUGCGUUUUAUGCAUGUAGUUUUGGUCACCCAUAUAAGAAAAUACUUAUCAGUGACAAAGCAUUUAAUUGUCAGUGAGGUUUUUCUUCCAGGGUGUUUGUUUCUUUUUCUCUUUGCAACCGUGAGCAGAGAUUCAAGUGACCCAGAAUAUAUGCUCAACCUGUGUUUUAGUUAAAAACAUUUUGUCGUUUAUGAUCUUUUGUUCAGGUCUUCGGGGUUUUUUUUGUUUGUUUUUUGACGGGGGGGGUGGGGGGUUGAUUUUCAUAUAUCAUGUAAAAUCAGGGUCCUGUUUCUCUCUUCUGCAUCCAGAUAUCAUAUUUCUCAAAGGUAUUCAUUGAGCAGACUCUGCCUUCCACAUUGUGGUGGUCUUUAUCAAACUCAUUACAUUUAACAUAAUGUUUUCCAGGUUCAUCUGGGUUGCUCCACAUGACACUGUUUCAUCAUUUCGGUGGCUGAAGAAUAUUCCCUAGUGUAUGCAUACGAGAGUGUGAUCCCUUUAUCUGUGGAUGAACAGGAGAUGAAGAUGUUUUCAGUCUGCAUGCCUGAGAUCGUGUGGAAUGGGACUUUGUCUACCAGGCUCAUUCGUUGGACCUGAUGUUCUCCAGGUUUCUUCAUGAGGCUGCAGAUGGCAGGAUUUCCCAGAGCUUUAUGGCUGGAACAUACUCCGUGGUGUUUCUGUACAGCAAUUUCUUCAUCCCUGCAGCUGUGCGUGGACAGGUUCAACAAUAUGGCUCCAAAUGAUGAAAUUUCAUUCUGGUUUUCUGGCUGAAGACGAUUCUGUUUGUGUACAUCCACCAAGUAUUCCUUCAUCUGCAGGUUUUUCCAUGUGGCUGCAAGUGACGAGAUUUCCCCCAUUUCUAUGAUUGAAGAAUAUUCUACUCUGGAUGUAUAUUGCAGUUUCCUCGUCCCUUCAUCAAUGGAUGAACAGGUAGGUGCAUUUCCUAUCUUGGCUGUCGUGAGUACUGCAGUACAGAGGGCAAGGCAGGUAUCUCUUCCACAUAGGAAUGGAAUGAUGGCUAGAUGAGAUGGCGUUUUUACUUUGUUUGAGGCACUUCCAGCUGUUUUUCCUAGUGUGUGUAGACAUUGACAUUCCCACCAAUAGUGUAUGAGAAGAGUUUCCCCUUCUGAAAGUCUAUACUAGUUGUUUCCAUUGAACACUUUUAUUUCUGUUUUAGGGAACAUUCAAUCUAUGUGGAUGGAAGCUGUAUCUCAGUGCGGUUUUCCUUGACGUUCUCGUGAGGAUUAGCGCUUUUGAGAGACUUUUCUUUUCCCUGUGAGUCAGUUUGACAUCUGCUUUGCAGACACGUCUAUUCAGGUCCUUUGCCCAGACUUAGCUUGGGUGUUUGUUUCUUUUUCUGUUUUUGUUUCCCCCACACGGUAGUGUUAGAUUCUUGCACAUAUUUUAUAACGACCCCUUUCAAAGACAGGAUUUUCCCUAGUUUUCUUUCAGUCUGUGAGGCACCUUCUCUUCUGUUCAUUGUUUCCUCUUCACAGCAUAAGAUCCGAUGUUUUCCGUAGUUCCACGUGUUUCCAUAUUAGUGGUGACUUCACUAUGCAGUUAAAGACAGUGAAAAAGAUUGCCAAUCUAUGGGAUCGUCUAUGGUUUUUUCCUUCUAAUUUUUCUUUUUCUAUUUCACAUUUUGCAACUUGUGUGCAUAGAUUAGUCUUCUAAACUAUGUGCUUACCCUUUGUUUUCUGAGGGAAGUAAAUGGUUUCAAGAUUGACUUUAGGCCUUCAAUGUAAUUUACAUCGAUUUUUGUCCUAUUUCACUGUUUUUCAUGUGGUUAUCCAGUUUGCUCAAAAUCAUUUAUUAUUUUCCCAUUGUGUCUUUUUGUGUUGUGUUGAAAAAUGCGUUCAGUGUACAUUCAUUUGGGUGGCAUGUGGGACCCCCUCAUUCUGUCCAUUGGGUAGCCUUUCUGUUUUUAUGCCAGAGGCAGGUUGUUUGGAUAAAUAAAGGUUUUAGUUGCUUUAUCAUUAUGCCCACUUAGUACCUUUAGUUUCUUGCAUAUGUUAGAUAACAGUUCUUUUCGGAUACGUGAUUUUCUAUAAUUUUAUCCCAAUCUGUAGGAUCCCUUUUCUUUGGGUUCAUUGUUUUUUCCUUGUUUAUAAAUUUUAAAAUUGUCCUUUGGGAGCAGAUGGAGCUCUGAACAAAUUGUGCCUGGAGCUCAGAGUAGAUGGAGGAAGAUGGAGCUCAGAGUAGAUGGAGCAAGAUGAAGCUCAGAGUAGAUGGUGCUUAGAAUAAGAUGGAGCAGCAAGCAUAUGGUGCUCAGGGCAAGAUGGAGCUUCAGUGAUUGUAGCUCAGAACAGAAGGAGCUCGCGGAAGAUGUUGCUCCCAGUAAGAUGGAGCUCCAAGCAGAUGGUGCUCAGAGUAAGAAGGACCUAAGAAUGAUUAGAACUCUGAGAAAGAUAAUGCUCUCUGCUGAUGGUGCUUAGAGAGAGAUGGAGCUCAGGGUGAUUGCUCUGAGAGAUUGGAGCUCUGAGCAGAUGGAGCUCAGAGCAGAUGGUGCUCAGGGCAAAAUGGACCUCAAAGUGAUUGGCACUCCAAAGAAGAUGGUUCUCUGAGCAGAUGGUGCUCAGAGCAAGAUGGAGCUAAAUGCAGAUGAUGCUCAGGGCAAAAUGAAGCUCAGAGAGAUUGGAACUUCAAAGAAUGUGGAUCUCAGAGCACAUGGUGCUCAGGGCAAGAUGGAGCUCAACAAGCUGGAGAUCAGAGCAGAUGGAAGUCCGGGCAAGAUGGAACUCGGAGACAAUGUUGCUCACGGUAAGAUGGAGUGCAAAGUGAUUGGAGCUCCUAAGAUGUUGGAUCUCGGAGAAGAUGAUGCUCAGGGCAAGAUGGAACUUAGAGUGAGUAGAGCUCCAAGCAAGAUGGAGCUGGGAGCAGAUGCUGCUCAGAGCAGGAUGGAGGUUGGAGUGAUAGGAGUCCUGAGCAAGAUGGAGCUUGGAGCAAAUGGAGCUCAGAGUAGACGGAGCUCCGAGCAGACGGUGUUCUGAGUAGAUGGUGCUCAGAGCAAGGGAGCUCAGAGUGAUUAGACCUCCAGACAAGAUGGAGCUCGGAGCAGAUGGAGCUCUGAGCAAGAUAGAGCUCGGAGCAGAUGCUACUCAGCAAGAUGGAGCUCAGAGCAGAUGGAGCUCCAAGCAAGAUGGAGCCCCGUGAAGAUGGUGUUAAAGGAAAGACAGAGCUCAAAGUGAUUUGACCUCUCAGCAAGAUACAGCACUUGGAGCAGAUAGAGCUCUGAGCAAGAUGGAAUUUGGAGCAGUUGAAGCUCUAAGAAGAUGGAGCUUGGAGCAGAUGGAGCUCUGAGCAAGAUGGAGCUCGGAGUGAUUGGAGCUCUGAGCAAGAUGGAACUCGGAGCAGUUGAAGCUCUAAGAAGAUGGUGCUCUGAGCAAGAUGGAGCUUGGAGCAGAUGGAGCUCAGACUUAUUUGAGCUCUGAGUAAGAUGGAGCUCAAAGCAAGAUGGAAGUUGGAGCAGACGUUGCUUGGAGUAUGAUGGAGCUCGGAGAAGUUGGAGCUCUAAGCAGAUGGAACUGUAAGGAAGAGAGAGCUCAGAGCAGAUGGAACUCAGAGCAGAUGAAGCUCCAAGCAAUAUGGUGCUUCAGUCAAGAUUUAGCAUGGAUUUAGCAGAUGGUACUUGCAGCAGAUCGCACUACUGCACUCCAGCUUGGGCCACUGAGCAAAUUUUUUCUCAAAAAAAAAAAAAAAAAAAAACAGUCUCAAAAAAAAAAAAAAAAAAAAAAAACUUAAA